rnacentral:rRNA from 1 species
CCUACGGGAGGCAGCAGUGAGGAAUAUUGGUCAAUGGACGAGAGUCUGAACCAGCCAAGUCGCGUGAGGGAUGACUGCACAGUGGGUUGUAAACUUCUUUUAUAAAGGAAUAAAACGAGGCACGUGUGCCUUGUUGCAUGUACUUUAUGAAUAAGGAUCGGCUAACUCCGUGCCAGCAGCCGCGGUAAUACGGAGGAUCCGAGCGUUAUCCGGAUUUAUUGGGUUUAAAGGGAGCGUAGAUGGGUUGUUAAGUCAGUUGUGAAAGUUUGCGGCUCAACCGUAAAAUUGCAAUUGAUACUGGCAGUCUUGAGUACAGGUGAGGUAGGCGGAAUUCGUGGUGUAGCGGUGAAAUGCUUAGAUAUCACGAAGAACCCCGAUUGCGAAGGCAGCUUACUAACCUGUCACUGACAUUGAGGCUCGAAAGUGUGGGUAUCAAACAGGAUUAGAUACCCGUGUAGUC